UACAGAGGUUGCAAGCGUUAAUCGGAAUUACUGGGCGUAAAGCGCGCGUAGGUGGCAAGUUAAGUCGGAUGUGAAAGCCCUGGGCUCAACCUAGGAAUUGCAUUCGAUACUGGCUCGCUAGAGUUUGGUAGAGGAGCGUGGAAUUCCCGGUGUAGCGGUGAAAUGCGUAGAUAUCGGGAGGAACAUCAGUGGCGAAGGCGGCUCUCUGGACCAAAACUGACACUGAGGCGCGACAGCGUGGGGAUCAAACAGG
rnacentral:rRNA from 1 species